rnacentral:rRNA from 1 species
UACGUAGGGUGCGAGCGUUAAUCGGAAUUACUGGGCGUAAAGCGUGCGCAGGCGGUUUUGUAAGCCAGAUGUGAAAUCCCCGGGCUUAACCUGGGAAUGGCAUUUGGGACUGCAAGGCUGGAGUUUGGCAGAGGAGACUGGAAUUCCUGGUGUAGGCAGUGAAAUGCGUAGAUAUCAGGAGGAAUACCGAUGGCGAAGGCAGGUCUCUGGGCUAUAACUGACGCUCAUGACACGUAAAGCGUGGGGAGCAAAC